rnacentral:misc_RNA from 1 species
CAGGCCAUUUUCUUCAGAUGGUGGUAUGACAAUGUUUAGUUUUAAUGAAUUUUCUUCAUAUGCAUAUUCACGCAUAUGUAUAAUAUGAUAUUAGCUCUGUUGUACUUAUGGAGCCACUUCUAUGUAGCCCAGGACUUCAUUGAUGAAGCUAGUCCGUCUAAUUCCAACAUAAGUAAUUCUUUAUGAAGCUCUUGGGAAGUUUGUUGUCACAGGAAGGGCAUUGCAUAUAGUAUGAUUUGAAUCAAGUGGAUGAAUUAGUUGAUUAUAUUACAGAGUUUUUCAUUGUAUUUUGUAUUGUUCCAUUGACAAUUGGCUUCAUAAUUCAUGAACUCAUUACUCUUUAUCUAGGAUAUGAGUAUUUUAGCACUUACCUGAGUCGUUUCUAAGUAGCCUGCAAGGACUUGAUUGAUGAGGCUUUUUCCUACUAAUUCCUACGUGUACAAUUUUUUAAGAAGCUUUUGGGAAAGUUAUUUUAACAAUAAGGGCAUUGUUUAUGGUAAGUUUUCAAGUAAGUAGACGAAUCAACUUUUGGUAGUGAUUGUUACAAUUGUUAUUGUUUAAUACUUGGUUAGCUGCAUUCUUGUAAGUUACAACAUCUUGUAUAUGACGGGGAUGGAUGGUUUACUGCCACUUUCAUUGAUACACCAUUGAAGAAGAAGCAAUUAGCUUUUUUUUGGCUUUUCGGUAGAAUGGUCUGGGUGUUGAACCUAUGACUUGCAACUGCUUGAAAAGGAAGCUAUUGGCUUUUGAAGGAACCUGCAGCUGUUUCAUUUUACAGUUUUAUUUUAUCUCACAGUUUGAUGAUGAUUUCAUAUUGUGUAUCUGAUGCAGGGGAUUCAGUUGAUGUUGUUGUCCCUUUUAUG